rnacentral:lncRNA from 1 species
UUUAGGAGUAGAAACUUAUGAACCUUCUUUGUGUAAACUUUCAGGCCACCCCUCUUACGAACCUUAGAUCUUUAAGACGAUUACUCCUAAGAGUUUUACUAGGAAACUCUAUAAAACCUCCUUGGACCUUUCCAGGUCAAUCCAACUUAAGAGUUUUACCAGAAAACUCUAUAUAAUCACCUUGGACCUUUACAGGUAGAUCUAACCUAAGAGUCAGGAAACUUUAUAAAACCACUUUGAAUCUUUGAAGGUAGAUCCAACCUAAGAGUUUUUCAUAAAACUCUUUAGAACCAAACUAAGUUUUAUGGUUAAGCUUAUAAACCUUACAAGUGUUGCUCUUGAGAUAAUUUUUCACAACACUUUAAACACAAUGAAAAUGUUUGUUGGUUGAUCCACAACUAUAACUCUCAGAAAGGUUAGAAAUAGAAUGACAGUUGGAAGCAAAAAGAUGAGCACUUGCUAUGGAGAACACCUUUGGAACUUUGAGCACUUGAAGACUUGAAGACUAUAGCUUUCUCUUGGAUGCUUGGACGAAUUUGGGCACAAAUGUGAGUGUGGUGUGUUACCUUUGAGUGUUGCCCAUGAUGGUGUAUUUAUAACAUGGGAGAGAUCUUGGUGACCAUUGGAUCUUUUCCUUGAGAUGAGUGUGGGCACAUAGUUUGAGUCCUUUGGUAGAGGUGCACCUUGUCUUAUCUCUUUGGAUUGGUGUACGCUUCUCAAUGUUCAUAGUUUAGAAGCCACAUUUUUAAAGGAUGUCCCCUCUUGACUUAUGCUUUUGUCAUAGGAUUCCAAAUAUCUAUGUAAUAGAAAAUUCAACUUUUGUAUAAGAUAUAGAUAAUUG